UGAUGGCAGGGCUCGGAGCAAUUCAGUCUCGGUUCCAAUUGCUGAUUACUCGCAAAGGAUUCUCGUAAGGUGAUUCAGUUGUAAGCUUUUCAGCAAAAGCAGACGUAGCAGUUUCAAACUUCCUUCAACAGGACGCCAUCCAGGUCGAAUGGCAUGCUGGACAAGACGAAGGCUAAGUGGUGCGUAUCCGGAGAAGACAUGAACAACAUCAUUGGGGGUUGGUUGUAUCGGUAUCUUCAACCACAAGCUCCAGAGUACAUUUUAUAGCAGCUUGGCGCUCAUGCAAUUGAUUCAAGGAUCAUGAUGGUGUUUGAAGGCCCGAUUAGUGAUCGAGACUAACGGCAUAGCAGGUCUGCAACCAGCAGGUAAUCGCUGUCAUUCUGCGAUACGACUACGGCCUUAGGUUCAUGGCCCGCACAGAUAGGAUGCGUUGGCUGGUGGGAUGGUUUUGCCAGUGGGUAUUGCAAUGCUGACUUGGUUGUCGGAAUUGCGGCGUUUAGCUCAGUUCUGAAGCUCUGUUAUUGAGGUGGUCGGCAUUCCGGACAAAGAGCUUUCAGCUUAUCCUGUGGCAGCUUGCGGUUCUCUCGGCAGCACUGGCAGCUUAUGCUUUCCUUUUUUCAAUUCCUUGGCUCAUGUAAACCACUGUUUGGAUAACAUAUCAAGGAUUGCAUUAUGUAACGGUUGGGAUGGCAUUGACUUAAUUCCCAUGGUACUGUUUCAGUGUAAUUUGAAGAAUUAGGAUAAAAUAGAAUGAAUAUGUAAUGCUACUGUCAUUAGUAAGAAUGGUUAUUUGAAUUUGCUUGUAGAAUUUUGAUAAUGGUUUUGGAAUGUAUGUAAUAUGGCAGUGUUUGGAAUUUGGUUAAUUAUGGAUGAAAUGAAUGUUAUGAAUGAAUGCUAUU